CUGUUCUCGGCUUGGUUAAGCAUGAUAGGAUUUCAGCAACUCCACCGGCUCUCCCGUUCUGGAUUAGCACUACUUUUUCUAUUUGGAAACCCUGCAAUCAGCUGCACACACCCCUUUGGAAAGAAACAAGAGUCCAAGAUGUCUGAGAAAAAAAUGUCAUCGAGUCGCAAGCAUCAUCUGAAGAGCGUGAUGCUCCAGAUUGCUAAGGACUUGCUGGAGGCAGAGGCCAUAGAGGCAGUGGAAGAGAAAAAAAGGUACAUGGAUGAGAGCUGCCCCGCAUUGGACCUGCCUGGGUCAUUGGUGGAACUGCAGGAAAUGUGCAAGACAAUCCAUCACCAGCUUGAUAAAGUGGAUGAGGAGAGAUACGACCUGGCAGGCAAAGUGGGCAAGUGUGACAAAGAGAUUGAUGAUUUGAGGAUUAAAGUGGUUGAGAUCCAGGGCAUUAAGAAGCCAGCUCUGAAGAAAGUACGUAUGUCUGCUGAUGCUAUGCUCCAGGCUUUGUUGGGCUCCAAGCACAAGGUGACCAUGGAUCUGAGAUCCAAUCUGAAACAAGUGAAGAAGGAAGUCAAAGAGGAUGACAAAGAUACAGUGGGUGACUGGCGUAAGAACAUUGACGACAAGGCCGGCAUGGACGGCAGGAAGAAGAUGUUUGAGGCCGCAUAAACGCUAUGGCAAGAACCAUUUCCCCUGCUUUUCUCUGUGUCUUAAUAAAUCAGUUGGUAGCCAUGGCCGUCUUUUGUGUUGGAUAUAUAAGGUGGUAUUGUGGUUAAGUCCCAGGUGGAUUUGUAUGACCUUGUUAUUGAUUUCACUGCUUCCUUUUUGUCUGUAUACGCCAGACCCAGGUAAUCACCUCACAGCAACUUGAACACAUUUUGAAAGGCACUUAUUGUAUAUGAAAUAAAUAUUUCAACACUUACAACUGGAAUAGCAGUUUUAUUUUGCUUGCACGUCUUCAUAAUGUGUGAGAUUAAAAAAUUAAAACUACUUAUGCAGUAGUCUACUUGAUUUGGGUAGGAUUAGUAUACUAUUCAAUGUUAUUCAAUAGAAGAUAAUGGGCAUGAAAAGCUAAGUGUAAAAAACAAACGGAAUAACUAAAGGACUUUAAACCUAGGACUUGAUUUAUUGGAACAUAUCACACACACCAAAAGGCAUAUUCUCUGUGCAUGUACUCUUUUGCUCUCAUGUUAUAAAUAUUAAUUUCAUGAAUUAAUCAUUGCAUAACUUUUUAAAUAGUAUAACAAUAAACUAUUUAUAUAUAUUAACCAAAACCACAAGAUGUCAGUGGAACACCUGUUCUCCUUGCCUCCCCUCUGCCCCUGUCUCUCUCUCUCUCUGUGUCAAUCUGCUGACCUAGUGAACUUGAGGUUGGUGCUGUAUCUUGUGACAUCUCCGAUGCAGUGAGAGCGGGACAGUGGAGGACUAGGAUGGAUAUGAUGCCCUCUACUGCCCCACCAUAGCUCACACAACUGCAGUGUAGAAUUCAGUCUGGGAACAUGAACAAUUGAGACAUCUAAUGGAAAAAGGAUAUUUGGG